GACGAACGCCGGCGGCGUGCUUAACACAUGCAAGUCGAACGGUAAGGCCCUUCGGGGUACACGAGUGGCGAACGGGUGAGUAACACGUGGGUGAUCUGCCCUGCACUUCGGGAUAAGCCUGGGAAACUGGGUCUAAUACCGGAUAGGACUCCGGACUGCAUGGUCUGGGGUGGAAAGCUUUUGCGGUGUGGGAUGGGCCCGCGGCCUAUCAGCUUGUUGGUGGGGUGAUGGCCUACCAAGGCGACGACGGGUAGCCGGCCUGAGAGGGUGACCGGCCGCACUGGGACUGAGAUACGGCCCAGACUCCUACGGGGGGCAGCAGUGGGGAAUAUUGCACAAUGGGCGCAAGCCUGAUGCAGCGACGCCGCGUGAGGGAUGACGGCCUUCGGGUUGUAAACCUCUUUCAGCACAGACGAAGCGCAAGUGACGGUAUGUGCAGAAGAAGGACCGGCCAACUACGUGCCAGCAGCCGCCGUAA
rnacentral:rRNA from 1 species